GACGAACGCUGGCGGCGUGCUUAACACAUGCAAGUCGAACGGAAAGGCCCUGCUUUUGUGGGGUGCUCGAGUGGCGAACGGGUGAGUAACACGUGAGUAACCUGCCCUUGACUUUGGGAUAACUUCAGGAAACUGGGGCUAAUACCGGAUAGGAGCUCCUGCUGCAUGGUGGGGGUUGGAAAGUUUCGGCGGUUGGGGAUGGACUCGCGGCUUAUCAGCUUGUUGGUAGGGUAGUGGCUUACCAAGGCUUUGACGGGUAGCCGGCCUGAGAGGGUGACCGGCCACAUUGGGACUGAGAUACGGCCCAGACUCCUACGGGAGGCAGCAGUGGGGAAUAUUGCACAAUGGGCGGAAGCCUGAUGCAGCAACGCCGCGUGCGGGAUGACGGCCUUCGGGUUGUAAACCGCUUUCGCCUGUGACGAAGCGUGAGUGACGGUAAUGGGUAAAGAAGCACCGGCUAACUACGUGCCAGCAGCCGCGGUGAUACGUAGGGUGCGAGCGUUGUCCGGAUUUAUUGGGCGUAAAGGGCUCGUAGGUGGUUGAUCGCGUCGGAAGUGUAAUCUUGGGGCUUAACCCUGAGCGUGCUUUCGAUACGGGUUGACUUGAGGAAGGUAGGGGAGAAUGGAAUUCCUGGUGGAGCGGUGGAAUGCGCAAAUAUCAGGAGGAACACCAGUGGCGAAGGCGGUUCUCUGGGCCUUUCCUGACGCUGAGGAGCGAAAGCGUGGGGAGCGAACAGGCUUAGAUACCCUGGUAGUCCACGCUGUAAACGGUGGGUACUAGGUGUGGGGUCCAUUCCACGGGUUCCGUGCCGUAGCUAACGCUUUAAGUACCCCGCCUGGGGAGUACGGCCGCAAGGCUAAAACUCAAAGGAAUUGACGGGGCCCCGCACAAGCGGCGGAGCAUGCGGAUUAAUUCGAUGCAACGCGUAGAACCUUACCUGGGUUUGACAUGGAUCGGGAGUGCUCAGAGAUGGGUAUGCCUCUUUUGGGGUCGGUUCACAGGUGGUGCAUGGCUGUCGUCAGCUCGUGUCGUGAGAUGUUGGGUUAAGUCCCCGCAACGAGCGCAACCCUUGUUCACUGUUGCCAGCACGUUAUGGUGGGGACUCAGUGGAGACCGCCGGGGUCAACUCGGAGGAAGGUGGGGAUGACGUCAAGUCAUCAUGCCCCUUAUGUCCAGGGCUUCACGCAUGCUACAAUGGCUGGUACAGAGAGUGGCGAGCCUGUGAGGGUGAGCGAAUCUCGGAAAGCCGGUCUCAGUUCGGAUUGGGGUCUGCAACUCGACCUCAUGAAGUCGGAGUCGCUAGUAAUCGCAGAUCAGCAACGCUGCGGUGAAUACGUUCCCGGG
rnacentral:rRNA from 1 species